rnacentral:misc_RNA from 1 species
GUGAGUCAUCGAAUCUUUGAACGCACAUUGCGCCCUUUGGUAUUCCGAAGGGCAUGCCUGUUCGAGCGUCAUUUCACCACUCAAGCCUGGCUUGGUAUUGGGCGUCGCGGCUCCGCGCGCCUUAAAGUCUCCGGCUGAGCUGUCCGUCUCUAAGCGUUGUGGAAUUUAACUAUUCGCUUCGGAGCGCGGGCGGUUCGCGGCCGUUAAAUCUUUAUUCAAGGUUGACCUCGGAUCAGGUAGGGAUACCCGCUGAACUUAAGCAUAUCAAUAAGCGGAGGA